UCUUGAUUGGAUUUAUGAUUGUUGCAGGAAGCUACAGAGAUAUUGGUUAAGCAGCUGGAGCAGUUGAAAGCAGAGGAGAAGAUAUUGAAGAAACAGAGGAAAGAAGAGAAGGCUAAAGCCAAAGCCAUGAAGAAGAUGACUGAAAUGGACUCUGAAUCAUCUUCUUCGUCUGAAUCAAGUGAUAGUGAUUGUGAUAAAGGCAAAGUUGUGGACAUGAGCUCUUUAAGAAACAAGGCUAAACCG
rnacentral:sRNA from 1 species